UACGUAGGGGGCAAGCGUUGUCCGGAUUUAUUGGGCGUAAAAGGCUUGUAGGUGGCCACGCCAAGUCGGAUGUGAAAUCUCCCGGCUCAACUGGGAGGGGUCAUUCGAUACUGGCGGGCUCGAGGCCGGUAGGGGGAAGUGGAAUUCCCGGUGUAGUGGUGGAAUGCGUAGAUAUCUGGAGGAACACCGGUGGCGAAGGCGGCAUCCUGGACCGACACUGACGCUGAGGAGCGAAAGCCAGGGGAGCAAACGGG
rnacentral:rRNA from 1 species